UGGUGAAGGAGCUGCAGACUUCAGCCAGAGAGGCCAUCAUUCUGCUGAGAGCCAUGAUAGGAGAAGUUUGUCUGAACGUGGAGGAAGAAGAGAGUGCAAUCUGUUCUCUGUUCAACAGUUUACAGGAAAAACUGGCAGAGAGGAAGAAGAUUCUCCUGAAAGCAGCUCAGAGUCAGCACGAGGAGAAGGAGAAAGCACUAAAGGAGCAGCUCUCACACCUUACUGCCCUCCUGCCAACCCUGCAGGU